rnacentral:lncRNA from 1 species
AGUCUACAGGCAUUAACACCACAAUCAUGAGACCAUGCUGUGCAGCAUACCUUCAGCCAAGCACAAUGAGCAACAAAGCUGCUUUCGUUAUUGCCGCCAUUUUCAGCAAUCAUGGCAGAAGACCUAUACCAAAGCGGGGGAUGAUCAAGUCUCGAAUAGCUACAAGUGCAAUACACUCCAUCGCCUCCAUACUCCGGAGGGCUAUUCACAGCAUGCGCAUCCUGAUCAAAAUCCAUUUUGAAGAAGGGUGAAUUAGGUAUCAUUCAUUUGGAAUUCAUAUGGUUUGAUGAAUGUAAAUCUACAAUCAAUCCAAGUAGAUCAAUUUUUUAAAAUUUCUGUUUUUGUUGCAAAUACAAUGUAUAAAUAAACUAGAAGCGAAGAUUUACAGCUUUGUGCAUGAAUAACAUGUUCAGUUUUUAAGUUUUCUAAUGGUACACAUUCAGGCAACAAUGAUGAUGCUUUUUAAAUUGGUCAAAUAUUAUGCUUGGAGCUGAGUUGGUGCUGUUCCAUAGAUUUCUGCUGCUGUAGUGGA